GUUUGGGUGCCGGCGGUGACGGGGGCGCGGCGGCAGAGACAACACUGCUGAGCUGGGCCUUGGCUCUGUUGGGUUUUUGCUGCCCAGUGCUGAACGAGCGGCUCCACAACACAAGGGAGUAAAAUUACGGAUUAAAAGAAGGUCUAAGACCGGGGGAGCAGGACGAAGGAAGCAGUUGGU